CAAUUUUGUGUUGCAAUUUUCUCUUUCUUCUACUUUCUCUCUCCCAACUUCUUCUUCCUUUUCUCAAAUCUCACUUUCUUCCUCUUUUUCUCUCAAAUCUCACUUUCUUCCUCUUCUUCAUUUCCCUUUUUCUUCAUCAUCUUCUUCGACUGAAAUUUCUUAACGUUGGUGGGGGAUCUACAUUUUUGUUGUCUUGUGGUGGUCGGAGCUGAAACACAAACGACGAAGAAGACGCCGACUCUCCUCAAAUUUUCGAGAUGUGUUUCGAUUUCACCGUUUGGAAUGUCUGAGGCCAAGAUAUUAGUGCAGGUUUAUCGGUGAUGGAUUUAUGCUCGAAGUUCGAUCGCGGUGGCCGCCAGUGAUUAUUCCAAAAGAAUUUACUGGAUCAGAGCUUUAUAUUGGAAGCAACAUGAAAUAAAUUAUUCAGACAUGGAUGAUGCAAUGGUAUGCGACGCUCCACCGUAUUCUUCUGCUUCAGAUUUGUUAUUUACAUUCUAAUUCAUGUUUUUGCAUUUAUGAUAUGUCUUUUAAAAUUCUUCUUUCUUCUGAAAAAAUGGAGUGGGCUCAAUUAAACACAACCGGUAUGUAUUGAAUUGUUAGAUUUCUGUUAAAGAUAUCAAUAUUAUGCAUGGUUAAAUAUAUUUAUAGUUUUAUACAAUAAUGUAUUUGGCCUUCAGAGAUACAAGGCUUAUAGGCAAGACACCAUUGUUGUAGCUGGAUCUGAAUAUGGCAGUGGAAUAUAGACCAUUGUUGUAGCUGAAUAUC